rnacentral:lncRNA from 1 species
CUGUGACCCUCAGCAGGUUCCUUCACUCUUUUGAGCCUCAGUUUCCCCAAUUGUAUAACGAGGGUAAAAAACCACGCCUUUCUCUCAGGGUUAUUGUGGGUAUUCAUUGAGAAGACGUGUGUGGAGCCCGGUGUCCGGCACCCAGUGAGAGCCUGGAACAAUCAUUAGGAUGUCUGAGUCCUUAUCACUCGUGCGCAGCACAACACGACCGUGGGCACAGGGUUGAAGGCGGUUCCCUACGCCUAGCCUCUCGAUAGGAACCUUCAGGGACGGGUGGACUUAAAGGAGCCGGUGGCCUUAAGAGUCCAGUCGAUGCUGCCACGUGAUGGGCCUGGGGGAAAGCCCCGAUCCCAAGCGCCAACAGAGCAGCCGACCUCAGCCAACCUCAACCAACACGUAGGCGAGGAUGCCCAGGGUGAGCGCCAGCGGCGAGAAGACGCGCUAUCGCGAGAUCGGUGGGACCUACGCGUUUACAGGCCGGAAGUGAGGGGCGGGCCUAAGGGGGCGCGCUCCUUUUGAAACCUGAGACGGAGACCUGCGGAGGGCGAGGGCUGGUUGGAGGUCGCUGUCCUUUCUGGGAACCAAGCAGGGGUCGCAGGAGGGCGGGGAUGGGUCAGCGGGGAUCUCUGAGUGGGGUUCGGCUGAGAGAGGCCACAGUUUCAUCUUUGGGAAGCUACCCUGGGCCGGCCACGCGCCGUGAGCCGGACUGGCGACGCCCCCCUGCCUCCACCGUGCUCCUUCACCCGAGAAAUUCAGCUCAGCCCCAGCCUCUCGGCAACCUCCCUUUGGCUCCGCCUUUUAAAGGACCUUUACGAACCAGUUAAAGGUUUACCAUCAGCCAGAAGAGCUGUGGGAAUGAGCCUCCCAGAAAGAAGAGAUGGAAGGUGUUUGGCAUCUGCAGUGAUGAUGAUGAUGAUGAUCAUGAUCAUGAUCAUGAUGCUGGCUAAAUGCCGACUCUGAGCCCUGCAUGAUGGCACCACAAAACUGCGCCCCUGCCUGAUUUCAUUUCAGCAAGCUUUACUGUGAAGUGUUUAUGUGCCAGGUACCAUGUGUAGAAGCGCUGGCCCAGAGAUGAAGAUGAAGUUUCUAUCCUUAAGGCAUGCAAUGUGGGAGAUGAACAGAGACAGGCAAGAGAGCCACAGAAGAGAAAGUGAUGUGAAGACAGAAGCAGGGAUUGGAGUGAUCCAUCUACAAGCCAAGAAAUACCAAUGGUUGCUGCCAGCCACCAGGAUCUAGGAGAGUGGCAUGGAACAGAUUUUCCCUUAGAGCUUCCAGAAAGAACUAACCCUGUCAACACUGUGAUUCUGGACAGUGAGAGAGAAAUUUCUAUUGUUUUAAGCCAUCAAGUUUGUGGUAAUUUGUUAUGGCAACCGUAGGAAACAUCACCCAGUAAAUCCAAAUUAAAUAUUAUCCCAAUUUUUGCUUGAUACCAGAAAUGGCUGUAGUGUUUCAACACCCUCUAGCAUAAGAGAAUUGUAACAGGGGAAGCUGGUGUGGAAACAGACAGCAGUCUGAACCAGUUUGGACAAAAAUACUGGUCUUGCAAAUUUUAGAAAAAGCACACAACCUCUGAACACAUGACUAGGGCCCCUUCCAGGAACUUAGAAGGGGCCCGGCCGAGGGAGAGUCCCUGAAGCUUAUGUUUAAUACAUUUUACAGAAGAGCUGCCUCGGUGUAGGAAGCAGUGUAGUGUUGCGAAGACAAGCUCUGGAGCCAGACACCCUGGGUUCAAAUCCCAAUUUCGCAACUGUCUAGCUGUUGACUUGAGAGAAGUUACUUAGCCUUUCUGCGCCCCAAUUUCUUCCUUCGUAAAAUAUAAAUGGCAGUAGCACUAUCUGCCUCAUAGGGUUGUUUACCUGGUGAAGUAACAUGAUACACAUAAGGCAC